rnacentral:rRNA from 1 species
UGGGGAAUUUUGGACAAUGGGCGAAAGCCUGAUCCAGCAAUGCCGCGUGUGUGAAGAAGGCCUUCGGGUUGUAAAGCACUUUUGUCCGGAAAGAAAUCCUUGGCUCUAAUACAGUCGGGGGAUGACGGUACCGGAAGAAUAAGCACCGGCUAACUACGUGCCAGCAGCCGCGGUAAUACGUAGGGUGCAAGCGUUAAUCGGAAUUACUGGACGUAAAGCGUGCGCAGGCGGUUUGCUAAGACCGAUGUGAAAUCCCCGGGCUCAACCUGGGAACUGCAUUGGUGACUGGCAGGCUAGAGUAUGGCAGAGGGGGGUAGAAUUCCACGUGUAGCAGUGAAAUGCGUAGAGAUGUGGAGGAAUACCGAUGGCGAAGGCAGCCCCCUGGGCCAAUACUGACGCUCAUGCACGAAAGCGUGGGGAGCAAACAGGAUUAGAUACCCUGGUAGUCCACGCCCUAAACGAUGUCAACUAGUUGUUGGGGAUUCAUUUCCUAGUAACGUAGCUAACGCGUGAAGUUGACCGCCUGGGGAGUACGGUCGCAAGAUUAAAACUUCAAAUGGAAUUGAC